ACGGGUGAGUAACGCGUGGGCAACCUGCCCUGUACAGGGGGAUAACAGUUAGAAAUGACUGCUAAUACCGCAUAAGCCCACAGCUUCGCAUGAAGCAGUGGGAAAAACUCCGGUGGUACAGGAUGGGCCCGCGUCUGAUUAGCUAGUUGGUAAGGUAACGGCUUACCAAGGCGACGAUCAGUAGCCGACCUGAGAGGGUGACCGGCCACAUUGGGACUGAGACACGGCCCAAACUCCUACGGGAGGCAGCAGUGGGGAAUAUUGCACAAUGGGGGAAACCCUGAUGCAGCGACGCCGCGUGAGCGAUGAAGUAUUUCGGUAUGUAAAGCUCUAUCAGCAGGGAAGAAAGUGACGGUACCUGACUAAGAAGCCCCGGCUAACUACGUGCCAGCAGCCGCGGUAAUACGUAGGGGGCAAGCGUUAUCCGGAUUUACUGGGUGUAAAGGGAGCGUAGACGGAAGUGCAAGUCUGAAGUGAAAGCCCGGGGCUCAACCCCGGGACUGCUUUGGAAACUGUAUUUCUAGAGUGCUGGAGAGGUAAGUGGAAUUCCUAGUGUAGCGGUGAAAUGCGUAGAUAUUAGGAGGAACACCAGUGGCGAAGGCGGCUUACUGGACAGUGACUGACGUUGAG
rnacentral:rRNA from 1 species